UCCCGACUCAUUUGAUUUCUAGGUUAAUUUCAGAUCUUUUACUCUAUAAUAUCUAACUUGACCUGGUGCUACCCAAACUCGGUAUAUGUUAAGAUCUAAACUCGUUUGAGCCUCUAAGUUGUGAUUUAGGACUUGUAUGAGUAAUUUUUUUAAUAUAAAGGUAAGUUUAAAAAUUAUUUUUAUAUCCUAAUUUAUUUUGAAUGUAAUAUUAUUUGUUAUCUAUU
rnacentral:lncRNA from 1 species